CGCGUAGGCGGUUUCGUAAGUCCUGUGUGAAAGCCCCCGGCUCAACUGGGGAACUGCACGGGAAACUGCGAGGCUUGAGUUCGGGAGAGGGAAGCGGAAUUCCGGGUGCAGCGGUGAAAUGCGUAGAUAUCCGGAGGAACACCGGUGGCGAAGGCGGCUUCCUGGACCGACACUGACGCUGAGGCGCGAAAGCUAGGGGAGCAAACG
rnacentral:rRNA from 1 species